rnacentral:rRNA from 1 species
GAUGAACGCUAGCGGCAGGCCUAACACAUGCAAGUCGAGGGAGAAGCCCUUUCGGGGGCAGAAACCGGCGCACGGGUGCGUAACGCGUAUGCAACCUACCUUUCACAGGGGGAUAGCCCGAAGAAAUUUGGAUUAAUACCCCAUAAUAUUAUUGGAUGGCAUCAUUUGAUAAUUAAAACUGCGGUGGUGAAAGAUGGGCAUGCGUCCUAUUAGCUAGUUGGAGUGGUAACGGCACCCCAAGGCUACGAUAGGUAGGGGUCCUGAGAGGGAGAUCCCCCACACUGGUACUGAGACAGGGACCAGACUCCUACGGGAGGCAGCAGUGAGGAAUAUUGGUCAAUGGUCGGAAGACUGAACCAGCCAUGCCGCGUGCAGGAAGAAUGCCUUAUGGGUUGUAAACUGCUUUUAUAUGGGAAGAAUAAGGCGUACGUGUACGUUGAUGACGGUACCAUAUGAAUAAGCAUCGGCCAACUCCGCG